rnacentral:rRNA from 1 species
AUGAAGACUAAGAGAGAGGGGAAAGGAGGCAGGGAUAACCACGAGGAGGUUCGUGCUUUCGGCACGACUGGAGAAGGCAGGAGCACAAUUAAUCGACGACGGCGGCUUACGGAUGGUGUCAGAGAAGACGACGUCGCGUGCUCUGUGCAGGGCGUCGCAACUCGAUUCGUUCGGCGUGGAGGAUCAAGAGGGCGUGGAGGCUCUCUCAGAUGCUACGGCUUGUCAGGGAUAAACCGCUGGCCAUGGCGCGUGGCGAAGAGGGAGUUCGAUGAUGAGCGGAGGGCGCACCAGAUUGAGGCAGCCCUUUCAGUUGAGCUGAGUCCUGGUAUCCUUGGAAACAUUUUUGAUGAAAUCCAGGUAAGUUCAGCAUGA